rnacentral:rRNA from 1 species
CAAUGGGCGAAAGCCUGACGGAGCAACGCCGCGUGAUCGAAUGAAGGCCUUCGGGUUGUAAAGAUCUGUUGACAGGGACGAAUAAGCAAUGCGAAUAGUUUUGUGUAUGACGGUACCUGUUUAGAAAGCUCCGGCUAACUACGUGCCAGCAGCCGCGGUAAUACGUAGGUGGCAAGCGUUAUCCGGAAUUAUUGGGCGUAAAGCGCGCGUAGGCGGUUUCUUAAGUCUGAUGUGAAAGCCCACGGCUCAACCGUGGAGGGUCAUUGGAAACUGGGGAACUUGAGUGCAGAAGAGGAGAGUGGAAUUCCAUGUGUAGCGGUGAAAUGCGCAGAGAUAUGGAGGAACACCAGUGGCGAAGGCGGCUCUCUGGUCUGUAACUGACGCUGAUGUGCGAAAGCGUGGGGAUCAAACAG